GCUGUAUUUGCUGAGUGUUGAUGUUCAAGUUCUGUUGUAGCUAUUUUAUGAACUUAUAUACUAGAAGGUUAUUCUUGAAUUUGAAUUUCAAAGGUCAAAAAGCUUUGCUUCAAGGAUCAAUAUUCAUUAAUUUUUCUUUUCAGUGUUGAGUUGAAUAGGAAAUUUUUGUAAAAACAAUGAUAUAUUUUUAAAUUGGUUAUCAAUGGAUGGUAAGAGUAUAUGUGAUAUUUCCUUUACACAUUUUCAAAUAAUUUUUCUAAAACUAACCAAUGGUACAAUAUUUUAAAAUUUAAAAAUAGUCAUGGUUCUUUGUGCCAAGAGCGGUCCCCUGACUAUCUGGUCUGUUACCAUUUAAAUUACCCAAUAGCAAUCCCCAUGAAUUUUGAGCAGGGUAUGAGAAAGAACAAAUGGCUCCGAAAUCAUGGGAUGACUCAUAGUUACCCCUGCUUCAACUGUCUUAAUUUGAAGCUCGAUUUUCAUAGGAAUUGACAAAGUUAGAGGAAUGUCAUCUUUUAAAUAUAUCAUUAUUUAUUUUCAAUCCUCUGAGACUUCAUGUCACAUUGAUGCCAAAUCUCCCAUUAUUUUCUCAAAGGACACAUAUCCUUUUGUGAUUACUAUUCUGAUUAGGGAAGAAUACAUUAGCCAGGUAUAUGAGUUUGAUGGCAGUUUCCGGAUGUGUAUGGAAAUUUAAUUGAUUAUCUCUAUAAUGUGUAGUGCUUCUUUGCUGUACAUUGGUACAUGGCCUGGCUUUGGUAAAUUGUUCAUUUGUGUUUUACAUGACUCUUAAAGUGACACAUAAUAUUCUAUAUAUCUUCCUAGGAGAAGUAAGUGCAUAGAUUGAAGUGCUGGAAUCGUGAAAUCAAACAAAACUGGGUUCAGAUUCCUGUUCAGAUCUUUGUUAGCUGUAACCCUUAGGCAAGCUAUGUAUGCUUUCUGAGAUUUUUAAGUCCAUGAAAUUUAAAUUAGAAUGUUUGUACAGAUUCAGUUUGACAGUUUAUAUGAAUCUCUUGGUAAAAUGCCUAACAGGUAAUAUGUGCUCAUUAAAUGAUACAUAGUACAUUAUUACUCUGGAAUAUAAGAAUAAUGAUGCAUUACUCAACAGAGAAGAUUUUGAUUCUUUAUUAAAGCUUCCUCUGCU
rnacentral:lncRNA from 1 species